GAUGAACGCUGGCGGCGUGCCUAAUACAUGCAAGUCGAGCGAACGGACGAGAAGCUUGCUUCUCUGAUGUUAGCGGCGGACGGGUGAGUAACACGUGGAUAACCUACCUAUAAGACUGGGAUAACUUCGGGAAACCGGAGCUAAUACCGGAUGAUAUUUUGAACCGCAUGGUUCAAAAGUGAAAGACGGUCUUGCUGUCACUUAUAGAUGGAUCCGCGCUGCAUUAGCUAGCUGGUAAGGUAACGGCUUACCAAGGCAACGAUGCAUAGCCGACCUGAGAGGGUGAUCGGCCACACUGGAACUGAGACACGGUCCAGACUCCUACGGGAGGCAGCAGUAGGGAAUCUUCCGCAAUGGGCGAAAGCCUGACGGAGCAACGCCGCGUGAGUGAUGAAGGUCUUCGGAUCGUAAAACUCUGUUAUUAGGGAAGAACAUAUGUGUAAGUAACUGUGCACAUCUUGACGGUACCUAAUCAGAAAGCCACGGCUAACUACGUG
rnacentral:rRNA from 1 species